rnacentral:rRNA from 1 species
UUAAGCGACUAAGCGUACACGGUGGAUGCCCUGGCAGUCAGAGGCGAUGAAGGACGUGCUAAUCUGCGAUAAGCGUCGGUGAGGUGAUAUGAACCGUUAUAACCGGCGAUGUCCGAAUGGGGAAACCCAGUGUGUUUCGACACACUAUCAUUAACUGAAUCCAUAGGUUAAUGAGGCGAACCGGGGGAACUGAAACAUCUAAGUACCCCGAGGAAAAGAAAUCAACCGAGAUUCCCCCAGUAGCGGCGAGCGAACGGGGAGGAGCCCAGAGCCUGAAUCAGUGUGUGUGUUAGUGGAAGCGUCUGGAAAGGCGCGCGAUACAGGGUGACAGCCCCGUACACAAAAAUGCACAUGCUGUGAGCUCGAUGAGUAGGGCGGGACACGUGGUAUCCUGUCUGAAUAUGGGGGGACCAUCCUCCAAGGCUAAAUACUCCUGACUGACCGAUAGUGAACCAGUACCGUGAGGGAAAGGCGAAAAGAACCCCGGCGAGGGGAGUGAAAAAGAACCUGAAACCGUGUACGUACAAGCAGUGGGAGCCCUGAUUUAUCAGGGUGACUGCGUACCUUUUGUAUAAUGGGUCAGCGACUUAUAUUCUGUAGCAAGGUUAACCGAAUAGGGGAGCCGGAGGGAAACCGAGUCUUAACUGGGCGUUAAGUUGCAGGGUAUAGACCCGAAACCCGGUGAUCUAGCCAUGGGCAGGUUGAAGGUUGGGUAACACUAACUGGAGGACCGAACCGACUAAUGUUGAAAAAUUAGCGGAUGACUUGUGGCUGGGGGUGAAAGGCCAAUCAAACCGGGAGAUAGCUGGUUCUCCCCGAAAGCUAUUUAGGUAGCGCCUCGUGAAUUCAUCUCCGGGGGUAGAGCACUGUUUCGGCAAGGGGGUCAUCCCGACUUACCAACCCGAUGCAAACUGCGAAUACCGGAGAAUGUUAUCACGGGAGACACACGGCGGGUGCUAACGUCCGUCGUGAAGAGGGAAACAACCCAGACCGCCAGCUAAGGUCCCAAAGUCAUGGUUAAGUGGGAAACGAUGUGGGAAGGCCCAGACAGCCAGGAUGUUGGCUUAGAAGCAGCCAUCAUUUAAAGAAAGCGUAAUAGCUCACUGGUCGAGUCGGCCUGCGCGGAAGAUGUAACGGGGCUAAACCAUGCACCGAAGCUGCGGCAGCGACACUGUGUGUUGUUGGGUAGGGGAGCGUUCUGUAAGCCUGUGAAGGUGUACUGUGAGGUAUGCUGGAGGUAUCAGAAGUGCGAAUGCUGACAUAAGUAACGAUAAAGCGGGUGAAAAGCCCGCUCGCCGGAAGACCAAGGGUUCCUGUCCAACGUUAAUCGGGGCAGGGUGAGUCGACCCCUAAGGCGAGGCCGAAAGGCGUAGUCGAUGGGAAACAGGUUAAUAUUCCUGUACUUGGUGUUACUGCGAAGGGGGGACGGAGAAGGCUAUGUUGGCCGGGCGACGGUUGUCCCGGUUUAAGCGUGUAGGCUGGUUUUCCAGGCAAAUCCGGAGAAUCAAGGCUGAGGCGUGAUGACGAGGCACUACGGUGCUGAAGCGACAAAUGCCCUGCUUCCAGGAAAAGCCUCUAAGCAUCAGGUAACAUCAAAUCGUACCCCAAACCGACACAGGUGGUCAGGUAGAGAAUACCAAGGCGCUUGAGAGAACUCGGGUGAAGGAACUAGGCAAAAUGGUGCCGUAACUUCGGGAGAAGGCACGCUGAUACGUAGGUGAAGUCCCUCGCGGAUGGAGCUGAAAUCAGUCGAAGAUACCAGCUGGCUGCAACUGUUUAUUAAAAACACAGCACUGUGCAAACACGAAAGUGGACGUAUACGGUGUGACGCCUGCCCGGUGCCGGAAGGUUAAUUGAUGGGGUCAGCGCAAGCGAAGCUCUUGAUCGAAGCCCCGGUAAACGGCGGCCGUAACUAUAACGGUCCUAAGGUAGCGAAAUUCCUUGUCGGGUAAGUUCCGACCUGCACGAAUGGCGUAAUGAUGGCCAGGCUGUCUCCACCCGAGACUCAGUGAAAUUGAACUCGCUGUGAAGAUGCAGUGUACCCGCGGCAAGACGGAAAGACCCCGUGAACCUUUACUAUAGCUUGACACUGAACACUGGUCCUUGAUGUGUAGGAUAGGUGGGAGGCUUUGAAGUGUGGACGCCAGUCUGCAUGGAGCCGUCCUUGAAAUACCACCCUUUAAUGGCUGGUGUUCUAACGUUGGCCCCUUACCGGGGUUGCGGACAGUGUCUGGUGGGUAGUUUGACUGGGGCGGUCUCCUCCUAAAGAGUAACGGAGGAGCACGAAGGUUGGCUAAUCCUGGUCGGACAUCAGGAGGUUAGUGCAAUGGCAUAAGCCAGCUUGACUGCGAGCGUGACGGCGCGAGCAGGUGCGAAAGCAGGUCAUAGUGAUCCGGUGGUUCUGAAUGGAAGGGCCAUCGCUCAACGGAUAAAAGGUACUCCGGGGAUAACAGGCUGAUACCGCCCAAGAGUUCAUAUCGACGGCGGUGUUUGGCACCUCGAUGUCGGCUCAUCACAUCCUGGGGCUGAAGUAGGUCCCAAGGGUAUGGCUGUUCGCCAUUUAAAGUGGUACGCGAGCUGGGUUUAGAACGUCGUGAGACAGUUCGGUCCCUAUCUGCCGUGGGCGCUGGAGAACUGAGGGGGGCUGCUCCUAGUACGAGAGGACCGGAGUGGACGCAUCACUGGUGUUCGGGUUGUCAUGCCAAUGGCACUGCCCGGUAGCUAAAUGCGGAAGAGAUAAGUGCUGAAAGCAUCUAAGCACGAAACUUGCCCCGAGAUGAGUUCUCCCUGACUCCUUGAGAGUCCUGAAGGAACGUUGAAGACGACGACGUUGAUAGGCCGGGUGUGUAAGCGCAGCGAUGCGUUGAGCUAACCGGUACUAAUGAACCGUGAGGCUUAACCUU